GCUCUUUUCUACAACGAAGACAACGUGUCAACCAUGAGCACAAAACCAAAGAGCCACAAGGCUAUGAGCGAUAAGGAGUGGAUGGCAAGGCUGAGGGCGUUUGCCAGCUCUGGGGUUUGGCCUUCUGGAGGAGGCAACAGACCAGCCCCAAGGCAGAAGAAGUGGUUCGCCUUCUAUCAGAAGAUUGAGAAAUGCCCCAUGCAGGCCCGUGGACAGACCACGCUCUUUGGAGGGUCCAUGGCCACCAUGGCCUGUGAUUGUGGAUUCCACGGCGUUAUGGUGAUUUGUUUAAUAAUGAUGUCUCUUUAUUGUUCAUCUUGCAUUGCAUGUCUGUUACAAAGCUGUUAUGCUGUUGUUGUUACAAUAUUCUGCUGUUGUUCCACAGUCCGUGGCCUCAGCCUCAG